CCAGGUGGCCGCGCUGGGAGCCGGACACACCUGGCAGGCGCCAGCCGGCCUCCGGGCAGCAGGUGGAACUGUGCAUCUUUCUGCUUGAGAGACAGCUAGUCUUGGGAGGGAAGGAAGUCUUCCGAGAGUAGGGGAGGCCUGAAGUAUGACUAAGAAUCAGACAGCUUGGGAGUGGAGUGUCAAUCCAAGCAGAGGGAAGACAGGGCCCAGCUCACAUACUACGUCACUUACGGAAAUUUCCCUGCUAUAAACCAGCCUUGGUGGUCUAGUGAGUAAGAUCUGGCGCUUUCUCCGCUGCAGCCUGCAUUCGUUUCCCAGUCAGAUGAACCGCACCAUCCGCCUGUCGGAUGUCACACUGUGGCAGCUGCGUGUUGCUGUGAUGCUGAAAACUCAACUAUCAGCAGGGUCACCUGUGGCGGGCAGAUUUCAGCGGAACUUCCCGAGCGCAGGAAGGCAGUGAAAAGCCUCCAUUUGCCACAGUGGAAGGCCUUCAAGUUACCAGACACACAAUUCCCGGACAAGUUGGAAACAAUUAUUGCUUGAGGAAAAGCAGUUCAUUGUACUUUUUCUUCAUAAAAAA